rnacentral:rRNA from 1 species
UAACGGCGAGUGAAGCGGCAACAGCUCAAAUUUGAAAUCUGGCCGCAAGGCCCGAGUUGUAAUUUGCAGAGGAUGCUUUGGGCGCGGCGCCUUCCGAGUUCCCUGGAACGGGACGCCACAGAGGGUGAGAGCCCCGUCUGGUUGGAUGCCUAGCCUAUGUAAAGCUCCUUCGACGAGUCGAGUAGUUUGGGAAUGCUGCUCAAAAUGGGAGGUAUAUGUCUUCUAAAGCUAAAUACUGGCCAGAGACCGAUAGCGCACAAGUAGAGUGAUCGAAAGAUGAAAAGCACUUUGAAAAGAGGGUUAAAUAGUACGUGAAAUUGUUCAGAGGGAAGCGCUUCUGACCAGACUUGGGCUCGGUGAAUCAUCCAGCGUUCUCGCUGGUGCACUUUGCCGGUCCAGGCCAACAUCAGUUCGUCGCGGGGGAUAAAGGCUUCGGGAAAGUGGCCCCCUCGGGGGUGUUAUAGACCGUUGUGCAAUACCCUGCGAUGGACUGAGGUUCGCGCUCCGCAAGGAUGUUGGCGUAAUGGUCAUCAGCGACCCGUCUUGAAACACGGACCAAGGAGUCGUCUUCGUAUGCGAGUGUUCGGGUGUCAAACCCCUACGCGUAAUGAAAGUGAACGGAGGUGAGAGCUACGGCGCAUCAUCGACCGAUCCUGAUGUUUUCGGAUGGAUUUGAGUAAGAGCAUACGGGGCCGGACCCGAAAGAAGGUGAACUAUGCCUGUAUAGGGUGAAGCCAGAGGAAACUCUGGUGGAGGCUCGCAGCGGUUCUGACGUGCAAAUCGAUCGUCAAAUAUGGGCAUGGGGGCGAAAGACUAAUCGAACCUUCUAGUAGCUGGUUUCCGCCGAAGUUUCCCUCAGGAUAGCAGUGUUGAUCUCAGUUUUAUGAGGUAAAGCGAAUGAUUAGGGACCCGGGGGCGCUUUUUAGCCUUCAUCCAUUCUCAAACUUUAAAUAUGUAAGAAGCCCUUGUUACUUAGUUGAACGUGGGCAUUCGAAUGUAGCAACACUAGUGGGCCAUUUUUGGUAAGCAGAACUGGCGAUGCGGGAUGAACCGAACGCGAGGUUAAGGUGCCAGAGUAGACGCUCAUCAGACACCACAAAAGGCGUUAGUACAUCUUGACAGCAGGACGGUGGCCAUGGAAGUCGGAAUCCGCUAAGGACUGUGUAACAACUCACCUGCCGAAUGUACUAGCCCUGAAAAUGGAUGGCGCUCAAGCGUCUCACCCAUACCUCGCCCUCAGGGUAGAAACGAUGCCCUGAGGAGUAGGCGGACGUGGAGGUCAGUGA